GACGAACGCUGGCGGCGUGCUUAACACAUGCAAGUCGAACGGUGAAGCGAGUGCUUGCACUCGUGGAUCAGUGGCGAACGGGUGAGUAACACGUGAGUAACCUGCCCAUCACUCUGGGAUAAGCACUGGAAACGGGGUCUAAUACUGGAUACGACCAACCCUUGCAUGGGGUGUUGGUGGAAAGAUUUAUCGGUGAUGGAUGGACUCGCGGCCUAUCAGCUUGUUGGCGGGGUAAUGGCCCACCAAGGCGACGACGGGUAGCCGGCCUGAGAGGGUGACCGGCCACACUGGGACUGAGGCACGGCCCAGACUCCUACGGGAGGCAGCAGUGGGGAAUAUUGCACAAUGGGCGAAAGCCUGAUGCAGCGACGCCGCGUGAGGGAUGACGGCCUUCGGGUUGUAAACCUCUUUCGGCAGGGAAGAAGCGAAAGUGACGGUACCUGCAGAAGAAGCACCGGCUAACUACGUG
rnacentral:rRNA from 1 species